rnacentral:rRNA from 1 species
CUGGCUCAGGAUGAACGCUGGCGGUCUGCUUAACACAUGCAAGUCGAACGGGCUCUUCGGAGCUAGUGGCGGACGGGUGAGUAACGCGUGAGAAUCUGCCUUCAGGAGGGGGAUAACGACUGGAAACGGUCGCUAAUACCCCAUAUGCCUCCGGGUGAAAAGUAAUUCGCCUGAAGAUGAGCUCGCGUCAGAUUAGCUAGUUGGUGGGGUAAGAGCCUACCAAGGCGACGAUCUGUAGCUGGUCUGAGAGGAUGAUCAGCCACACUGGGACUGAGACACGGCCCAGACUCCUACGGGAGGCAGCAGUGGGGAAUUUUCCGCAAUGGGCGCAAGCCUGACGGAGCAAGACCGCGUGGGGGAUGACGGCCUAAUGGUUGUAAACCCCUUUUCUCUGGGAAGAAGACUGACGGUACCAGAGGAAUCAGCCUCGGCUAACUCCGUGCCAGCAGCCGCGGUAAUACGGAGGAGGCAAGCGUUAUCCGGAAUUAUUGGGCGUAAAGCGUCCGUAGGUGGUUAUUCAAGUCUGCUGUCAAAGCGUGGGGCUUAACUCCAUAGAGGCAGUGGAAACUGAGUGACUAGAGUGCGGUAGGGGUCGAGGGAAUUCCCAGUGUAGCGGUGAAAUGCGUAGAUAUUGGGAAGAACACCAGUGGCGAAAGCGCUCGACUGGGCCUGCACUGACACUGAGGGACGAAAGCUAGGGGAGCGAAAGGGAUUAGAUACCCCUGUAGUCCUAGCCGUAAACGAUGGAUACUAGGUGUUGCUCGUCAUCGACCCGAGCAGUGCCGUAGCCAACGCGUUAAGUAUCCCCGCCUGGGGAGUACGCUCGCAAG